rnacentral:sRNA from 1 species
UGCGGGAUGCCGAAGUCGGGUUCCGCGGUUAACCACUCGCUGAAUUUCAGGAGAUUUAAAUCAUGAGC